rnacentral:rRNA from 1 species
AUAUAUGUUAAGUGGAAAAGGAUGUGGCGUUGCCCAGACAACUAGGAUGUUGGCUUAGAAGCAGCCAUCAUUUAAAGAGUGCGUAAUAGCUCACUAGUCGAGUGACACUGCGCCGAAAAUGUACCGGGGCUAAACAUAUUACCGAAGCUGUGGAUUGUCCUUUGGACAAUGGUAGGAGAGCGUUCUAAGGGCGUUGAAGCAUGAUCGUAAGGACAUGUGGAGCGCUUAGAAGUGAGAAUGCCGGUGUGAGUAGCGAAAGACGGGUGAGAAUCCCGUCCACCGAUUGACUAAGGUUUCCAGAGGAAGGCUCGUCCGCUCUGGGUUAGUCGGGUCCUAAGCUGAGGCCGACAGGCGUAGGCGAUGGAUAACAGGUUGAUAUUCCUGUACCACCUAUAAUCGUUUUAAUCGAUGGGGGGACGCAGUAGGAUAGGCGAAGCGUGCGAUUGGAUUGCACGUCUAAGCAGUAAGGCUGAGUAUUAGGCAAAUCCGGUACUCGUUAAGGCUGAGCUGUGAUGGGGAGAAGACAUUGAGUCUUCGAGUCGUUGAUUUCACACUGCCGAGAAAAGCCUCUAGAUAGAAAAUAGGUGCCCGUACCGCAAACCGACAC